CGGGGGGCAGCAGUAAGGAAUAUUGGUCAAUGGACGCAAGUCUGAACCAGCCAUGCCGCGUGAAGGAUGAAGGCCCUCUGGGUUGUAAACUUCUUUUAUCUGGGACGAAAAACGGGCUUUCUAGCUCACUUGACGGUACCAGAGGAAUAAGCACCGGCUAACUCCGUGCCAGCAGCCGCGGUAAUACGGAGGGUGCAAGCGUUAUCCGGAUUUACUGGGUUUAAAGGGUGCGUAGGUGGGUCUGUAAGUCAGUGGUGAAAUCUCCGAGCUUAACUCGGAAACUGCCAUUGAUACUAUAGAUCUUGAAUUAUCUGGAGGUAAGCGGAAUAUGUCAUGUAGCGGUGAAAUGCUUAGAUAUGACAUAGAACACCGAUUGCGAAGGCAGCUUACUACGGAUAUAUUGACACUGAGGCACGAAAGCGUGGGGAUCAAACAGGAUUAGAUACCCGAGU
rnacentral:rRNA from 1 species